rnacentral:rRNA from 1 species
GACGAACGCUGGCGGCGUGCCUAAUACAUGCAAGUAGAACGCUGAAGGCGGAGCUUGCUUCUCUGGAUGAGUUGCGAACGGGUGAGUAACGCGUAGGUAACCUGCCUGGUAGCGGGGGAUAACUAUUUGAAACGAUAGCUAAUACCGCAUAAUAGUAGAUGUUGCAUGACAUUUGCUUAAAAGGUGCAAUUGCAUCACUACCAGAUGGACCUGCGUUGUAUUAGCUAGUUGGUGGGGUAACGGCUCACCAAGGCGACGAUACAUAGCCGACCUGAGAGGGUGAGCGGCCAAACUGGGACUGAGACACGGCCCAGACUCCUACGGGAGGCAGCAGUAGGGAAUCUUCGGCAAUGGACGGAAGUCUGACCGAGCAACGACGCGUGAGUGAAGAAGGUUUUCGGAUCGUAAAGCUCUGUUGUAAGAGAAGAACGAGUGUGAGAGUGGAAAGUUCACACUGUGACGGUAUCUUAACAGAAAGGGACGGCUAACUACGUG